rnacentral:rRNA from 1 species
CAGCAGCCGCGGUAAUACGUAGGGUGCAAGCGUUAAUCGGAAUUACUGGGCGUAAAGCGUGCGCAGGCGGUUAUAUAAGUCAGAUGUGAAAUCCCCGGGCUCAACCUGGGAACUGCAUUUGAGACUGUAUGGCUAGAGUGUGUCAGAGGGGGGUAGAAUUCCACGUGUAGCAGUGAAAUGCGUAGAUAUGCGGAGGAAUACCGAUGGCGAAGGCAGCCCCCUGGGAUAACACUGACGCUCAUGCACGAAAGCGUGGGGAGCAAACAGGAUUAGAUACCCGCGUAGUCCCUGUCUCUUAUAA